rnacentral:rRNA from 1 species
AGAGUUUGAUCCUGGCUCAGGAUGAACGCUAGCUACAGGCUUAACACAUGCAAGUCGCGGGGCAGCAUGUCGGUUGCUUGCAACCGAUGAUGGCGACCGGCGCACGGGUGAGUAACGCGUAUCCAACCUGCCCUUCACCACGGAAUAAUCCAGUGAAAAUUGGUCUAAUACCGUAUGAGGUCAUACGAUGGCAUCAGAAUAUGACGAAAGGUUUGGCGGUGAAGGAUGGGGAUGCGUCUGAUUAGCUUGUUGGUGAGGUAACGGCUCACCAAGGCGACGAUCAGUAGGGGUUCUGAGAGGAAGGUCCCCCACAUUGGAACUGAGACACGGUCCAAACUCCUACGGGAGGCAGCAGUGAGGAAUAUUGGUCAAUGGGCGAGAGCCUGAACCAGCCAAGUAGCGUGCAGGGCGACGGCCCUAUGGGUUGUAAACUGCUUUUAUAUGGGGAUAAAGUGAGUUACGUGUAGCUUAUUGCAGGUACCAUAUGAAUAAGGACCGGCUAAUUCCGUGCCAGCAGCCGCGGUAAUACGGAAGGUCCAGGCGUUAUCCGGAUUUAUUGGGUUUAAAGGGAGCGUAGGCCGCCCCUUAAGCGUGUUGUGAAAUGCCGCGGCUCAACCGUGGCACUGCAGCGCGAACU